UUUUUUUUUUUUUUUUUGAGAUGGAGUCUUGCUCAGUCACCCAGGCUGGGGUGCAGUGGCGUGAUCUCAGCUCACUGCAAGCUCCACCUCCCGGGUUUACGCCAUUCUCUUACUUCAGCCUCCCGAGUACCUGGGACUACAGGCGCCCACCACUACGCUCGGCUAAUUUUUUGUAUUUUUAGUAGAGAUGGGGUUUCACUGUGUUAGCCAGGAUGGUCUCGCUCUCUUGACCCCGUGAUCCACCCACCUCAGUCUCCCAAAGUGCUGGGAUUACAGGCGUGAGCCACCACACCCAGCCUGGACUUCUUAAAGGUAUAUGCAGAGUUUGCCUCCACUUAGUUUCUGGGAGCUUUCAUAAAACCUAGACAGGAGCAGAGGCCUUCUGAUUCCAGAUAUUAAUACAUAGUUAAUACCCUAAUUCCUGCAGAGUUGGGGCAGGGUCCUAGACCCAGACCCAACCUCCUAGGCUAGGCUUGGAAGAGAUUUAUUCUUCCCUCAUGGAUUUGCCUUUCUCAUCACACAUUUCUCAUUCAGAAAGGAAGAGGUCUAUAUUCUAUGAAGGUGCACAUCUCAUUGGCCAAGAAGAUAUGAAUCCAAAAGAGACUGAGUAGUUAGGAGACAUCAGCCUGGGAUGUGAGCUGCUUGCACCUACCUGUCAUUCUGAAAGUGGUGGCCCCCAAAGGCAGACCAGGGCCAAGAAAGGAAGAAAGAUUGGGAAUUACUAUUAGGAUACACUUUCAAUUAUUCAGCAAUAAGAUGACAGUCUUGAAAGGUAGUAGGUUCUUUAUUGUCUAAGGUAUGAAGAUAGAGGCUGGGUCACAAUUUGGUGAGAAUGAUGUAGGGGGACAACAGCACUCAAUGAGGGAUUAGACUGUGACAACAACAGAUAGAAUAGACCAUGGGUCAGGGCAUUUAAAUCUAACUUCCCUGCCUCACCAUCUAAGUAAACAGAUGAUUACAAUACAGUGCUCAGUGGGGGACAUCCAGGGUCCAUGGGGAGCACACCAGAGGACAUGGACCCCACACUUCAGUACAGCUGGGAAGACCAGACAGACAAAAUGAUGAUUCAACAAAACCUGAAAGAUGACUGGGAUUUAGCCAGGGGAAUGGGGUUGGGACUGAGGCAUGCAGACCACUCCGCCUGUGAUUCUUACAAAGAAUUAUUUGGCCCCAAACGUCGGCAGUGCUGAUGUUCAGAAACCUUGACCUAGAGUCAAUUUGGAUUUCCCGUCUUGUGAGAGAUGGCACGUCUCUUGAUACUUUAAGCUAUUUGACCGAAGUUUUUUGCUUCCUUAUUUUAAAUGUGAUCUAGAUCUAUCAAAUGUUAGCAUUUUUGACAGGGCUUAAGACAUAGUAAUGUAGAAAAGAAAG
rnacentral:lncRNA from 1 species